GGGAGCGACUUGGCUUCGACAGGAGUAAGUCUGCUUAGAUGGCAUGUCGCUUUGGGCAAAGCGUAAAAAGCCCAAAUAAAAUUAAACGCAAACAACGUUAAAUUCGCUCCUGCUUACGCUAAAGCUGCGUAAGUUCAGUUGAGCCUGAAAUUUAAGUCAUACUAUCUAGCUUAAUUUUCGGUCAUUUUUGAUAGUGUAGCCUUGCGUUUGACAAGCGUUGAGGUGAAAUAAAGUCUUAGCCUUGCUUUUAAGUUUUGGAAGAUGAGCGAAGUAGGGUGAAGUAGUCAUCUUUGCUAAGCAUGUAGAGGUCUUUGUGGGAUUAUUUUUGGACAGGGGUUCGAUUCCCCUCGCUUCCACCA
rnacentral:tmRNA from 1 species